AAAACAAUUAGUUUGAUUGUAGGCAGGUAGCGUAGAGAAAAGCAUAACCUCUUGUCCUCUUCUUAGGGUCAAAAGAGAACAAACUUCAAAGAAUUAAUCAAGAAGAAAAGAAAAUGGUUAACAACUCUUUUAACUGGCAUUGUUUUUCAUGGAAAGAGGAACCAAUUUCCAAUUCUAAUUGGACAAGUUCAUCAUGUGAUUUCCACAGGGUGGUUGUAGAAAUUAUUAAGGACAUGUACAUAUUCAACUCUUUAUAGUACAAAUUAUUUAAGAGGAUCUUUUUGGAAUAUGCAUGGCAUUAUGCCAUUGCACCAACAUCACUAUUAUUUAUCAAUUCAAAGAUGGGGACAGUU
rnacentral:misc_RNA from 1 species